GCUCGGUCAGUUUCCCACGCGACUACACUAGGUCAAUUUUCUCUCUCAAACCCUAAACACCACGACCACACUUCGUUCGCCUCCUCUUCCUCAUCCUCCUCCUCCUCCGACCGGCACUCGACUGCUCUCUGCCUCAGCCUCCGCCUCCGUUAUCCUCCUCCUCCUCUUCCUUUGGCACACCUGUUCUCUCAUCUCUCUUCUCCAAUUCACCAGAUCUAAUAAAGACGCAGUCCAUGCCGGAGCUCCGCCUUGCCCCUCCUCCUUCUCUUUUCUCCUUCCACCCCGACGAGAACUAGAAAUGGAGGCAGCCAGUGACUUCGGCGCUGGAGUUCGGCGGCGUCAAGAUUGCUAAAGAUGAUGUGUUGAGGGAUGACCCCACAAACAAUGUUCCGGAUACAAUUUUUGCAAAGCUUGGAAUGCAACUGAACAGAAGAGAUCGAUCAGCACCCACUUGGAAUUCUGAAGAAUGCCAUAUACAAAUACUUUGACACCAAUUACUCAAACAAGUUUGAUAAGUUCGAUGAUCUUUGCCCAUUUGUAUCUGUUAAGGAGGUGCAGGGAAAAGAUCGAGUAGUUGUAAGAUGUGUUGCAGAGCAGCUUGGCUUGGAAGGUUCAUACAUACCUCGUACCUACAUUGAAUAAAUUCAACUGGAAAAGCUCGUGAAUGAGGUCAUGGCCUUGCCAGAUGAUUUAAAGACAAGGCUUAGCAUAGAUGAGGAUCUUGUUUUGAGCCCCAGAGACACACUUUCUAAAGUCUCUGCAGCUCUCAUGAGAAAUAAGCAUCUCAAGAGUGGUAUGUCGCAGUCCUAUACAAACCAAAGGGACAAGGAUUUGGAUCGGGCAAGUGAAGGAAAUGAGCUAAAGCAAGAAACUACUUUGCAUGAACUGGAGCCGGUUGCCGUCCAUGCUCUUCAUGAACUUGUUUCUUUAGUUCACAGUCCUGUCAAUGCUGCAGAGCAAUAUGAUUUUGAGUAAGGCAAGAUUUUGCUGACCAUUUUGGAGUAGAUGUAGUGUUAUCAGGAUGAAUUGUGAACUAAUUAUACUUCAUGUAGUUAUUGCAGUAGUGGUAUCUUCUAGACUAGCCUUACAGUAGGUUAGGGUUUAUUGUGCAAAACUUUUGAAGCUACCUCAAGCUCUAAUUUUGGAUAGAAAUUAAUGCAAUUCCC
rnacentral:lncRNA from 1 species